rnacentral:rRNA from 1 species
AUUGAACGCUGGCGGCAUGCUUUACACAUGCAAGUCGCACGGUAACAGGCCGCAAGGUGCUGACGAGUGGCGAACGGGCGAGUAAUGCAUCGGAACGUGCCCAGUCGUGGGGGAUAACGCAGCGAAAGCUGUGCUCAUACCGCACACGAUCUAUGGAUGAAAGCGGGGGCCCGUAAGGCCUCGCGCGAUUGGAGCGGCCGAUGUCAGACUAGGUGGUUGGUGGGGUGAAGGCCUACCGAGCCGGCGAUCGGUAGCUGGUCGGAGAGGACGACCCGCCACACUGGGACUGAGGCACGGCCCAGACUCCUACGGGAGGCAGCAGUGGGGAAUGUUGGACAAUGGGUGCAGGCCUGAUCCAGCAAUGCCGCGUGCAGAAAGAAGGCCUUCGGGUUGUAAACUGCUUUUGUACGGAACGAAACGGUCUGGGUUAAUACCCUGGGCUAAUGACGGUACCGUAAGAAUAAGCACCGGCUAACUACGUGCCAGCAGCCGCAGUAACAC